GUCGGGCCUUGGCCUCCCUUAUCAAGCCCCUCUAUUCCUCUCUAUCCUGCACUGCUCUCUUCAAGUUCCUUAUGCCCGUUAACUUCUUUGCAUCUUCUUCCAGUCUGCAUACUGAAAGCAGUAGAGGGCUGGAUUGUUAGAAAAAUACAUAUUGAACAUUUCUCCUGUAAAUUGCCUGACAGCAAGAUUACGCUUGUACAAGAGGUAAAUUGAAUUGUGUUCCUGGGAUGUGGCUUUUUGCACAAGUAAGUCAUUGUACCGGUUUUAAAUAGAAGUUUUAGGAGUGGUGUUAUUGUGAUUUGUGAGAUUCCUAAUCAUAAGUGCUGGUGUUGAAAAGGCAGAGGCUCUCUGAAUAUUUGAAAAGCUGCAUUUUCUGUUGUUCAAAAUGUCUUCUAGUUAGGGCACAGGUGGCCAGUGUUGAGUGGGUUGGUACUGCAUCGGACCUGACGACUCAGUGUGGAGUAAAGCAGCUGGAGAAGAGUGAGUACUUUUAUUUGAAGGCUGUUGUGUUUUUAAUAAAUGGCCUUAGUCAUGUGUAUGGAAAACUGGCUUGUUUAUAAUCAUUAUGAUGAGGUCUGCAUGUGCUCUGGGAGCCGCAACACUCUGGAAUGUGUACAUUGACGUGGCUGGUGCAUGAAGCUGACUGCUGCCCAUAGACUUGGUGCGGUCUUUAAGCAAGCACAAGGACAACUUUCCUGCAUUCUGGAGUCAUACAUGAUGGGAUCUACAAGGUGAUGUAAGUGGACAUACUUUACAGUGGAACAGUUUUCGCAUAACUGAGACACCUGAAAAUGGCCAUUUGCAUUGUUGACAGAAUUGUAUUGUAUAUGAGAGGUAUAUUAGUUGAACAGGAUGCUUAAAUACAGUGUUGAAGAUUGCUAAGUUUGAAGAUUGUUGAACAAAAACAGGGUUUUAACUUCUAAUAAGUCUGUAUCGUUAAACAUUCUUUGUUUUAUGCUAUUUUUGAAUGUGCCUUACAAAUUAUGAAGAUGUUUUCCAAAAUACGAAUUUCAGGGGGUGAUGAGGAGACUGGUUAUAUAUUUUUGGUAUUUAGUAUAUAUAUGGUAUUUUGGUAUUGGUCUCUGAAUUUAUGUUUCAAAUUGUCACAGUAAUAUCGUCUUGCUGAGCGCAGUUCUCAUUUAAUAUUUGUGUUUUUGUUGUGAAAUACAGUGUACAUCCAUAAAGAAUAUGAUAAAGUGCAAUGUUGAAAUUUAAAAUUUUCACCCUUCACCUGUUCUGUCUGCAUGACAUACUGGUGUGUGAUAGCGUAGAUAUAUUUCAAGUCGGAUCCUGCUUUAUAGAAGGGACAGCGCACUUGUAGUAACUUCACUGCUUAAGAUGAAUUUAGACUCCCCCCCAUAUUCAGUAUAUUUUCUUAUGUUCCAGGCAAAAAGAAACUGCUUCAUGAAGUGGGACUGUUCAGUUUUCCUUGAUUUGGCUAAGAAUGGGAAGCCAAUUUGUUACUUGAAUAGUAAUGGACAGUUGCUUGUGAAGUUACGAAUCUCUUACAGUAAAACUUAUUUGAGAAAAAAUGUCUUUCAUUAUAUAAGGAUGUAAGGGUCCCUCAUUCUUGUGGCAGAUUGUUCAUGGCCUGUAGGAAAUGUAUGGAAGAUAUUUUAUUUUAUCAUAACAAAGUGUGAAGUAACUGUAUUUGUGUAAUUAUUUAAUCCUCAUCCUGUGUUUUGUCAGUUAAUCCUAGUAAUAUUUUACGCAUGUGGAAGUGUAUUCUCGUUAUCUGUCAAUUUGAUUUGGGAUGACUAUGGAAGAAGUAAAGCAAUCUGGUGUUAA